GGGACGGUAGCUCAGUAGGUAGAGCACGAGCCUUUUAAGCUUGUGGUCGCGGGUUCGAGCCCCGCCCGUCUCACCA
rnacentral:tRNA from 1 species